AAUACAGAAGCAUCACUUCUGAUUUUGUAGGUGUUCUUUUUGCUGUCUUGUGCUGAAUAAUGUUAAUUUCAACAUCAAUGGUAUUUUAGGGUUUAUAAAGAGAUUUAUAGAGAACACAGAGGCAAAGGCUUCAUUUUCUGAUCUCUCAAGGUGGACAGCAUUACGCUUGUUUUCCUAUAAGUCUUGCUCAUAAACUUUAAGUUGUUACUAGCUUUUAUGUGUGUCAGUGUCUUAAAAAAUGAUACAAGUCUCUUGGUCUGAAUUCUUAAGCAGUUGCUGAGUAGUUGCAAUGAAAUGAGAAAUUAUAUGUUACCUUUGUUGUUCUGUUUAGUUAUCCUGCAUGCAGGAUGAUGCAUUCCAGAAAGAUCUCAGCAUCAAUUUCAUAUUGAAAUUGAGACCAAAUAAGCUUCUCUGUAACUGAAGAAACACUUUGAUAGUAUUUGCAAAAUGAGUUAAUUGAGAAUACUUGAACAGCUUUCAGUUAAGUAGGGAAAUAUGACCUUGAGCUACCAAAGUGGCAGACAACACGAGUUAAUGGGUGAUUUCCUUGGUAAGGUAAUGCUUCUCUUUGUAGGUUUGGGGCUGGUUUUUUUUGAUAUUUUUUGGUUUGUUCUUUUUUUGGUGGAGGGGUUGGGUUUUGGUUAGGUUUUUUUGUUUUGUGGGGUUUUGGGGUUGGGUUUUUUUGGGGGGGGUGUAUUAUGGGUUGGUGGGUGUGUUUGUUUUUUAACAUUAUUUUUUUUAAAUAGUGUGAAAAUCCCUGGCUUCUAUUACUGAAGAAGCUUUUCCAUGGUGACAAGCCUUUCUUAAAUACGAGGUUAUUUGGAAAGGUGCUGAACAGAACAGCACAAGAUGACUUCUGAUUCCUGCUUUUCAUGGGAGCCUGUCUGGAUUGUCCCUGCAGAACUCUACAGCUUCCUUCCCUCUUCAGUGUGCUUGGCUUGCAGAGUCGUAAACCUUGGUGGAACUUUGGAUGGAAAUACUGACAUGAUUUUAAGAACUUUGAUUUCAGACGCUGAAUUUUGAUUUGUUAAGUGACCAGGAAUAAGAUACCGCCAGAACAAAAUGAAAUGCCUUGAAGACCUUUGGUUCUG
rnacentral:lncRNA from 1 species